UUAAAAAAAAAAUAAUUUAAAAGUAAAUAUUCUUAUAUAUUUAUCUAUAUAUAUACUUAGAGGAAUUUCAAUUUAGGUAAGGAUAUAUAAAAUUAACAGUAAACCCAAAACGGUACACCAGUAUUGAUCGGUACACGAAAUAUAUCGUACCGCUGGCCAAACUGAUACAACCUUAGGUACGGUAUUGAUUUCCUUGCUUGAGAGUUGAGAGGCGAGACAGAGAGAUUAGAGAUAAAGAGGCGAGACAGAGAGACCCACCCCGUGACGCUGCUGCCGCCCACGCCCACACCCACGCCGUGUCACUGUGACGCUUGUGAGAGCAAGACCCAUCUUGAUUAGUUGAUCUUGCUACCAAAGACCCACGCCGGCGAGACCUACUUGCCGCUGCCCACUUCAAACCCACUUGUCGCCGCUGCUCACAGGUUAAUGUUGCUUUCGAAAAUUGAUUAGCUUGCUAUCAGACAAUGUGCUAAGAAGAAAAUUUUCAAAUGGUGUGACCAUUGGGACGAUAAAGCUCGUAUAUAACUGGGGUACGGCGGCUUGAUGCAUUUGGGAAUCUUAGAAACAUAUUGGUAAGCCCAUGGAAAGUAACCACUAAUAAGUACAUAUCCAAGGAGGCAAACUAAAGCAUUGAUGUUUUGACUAAAG